UGUCAAAAUAAUUCGUCUAAUAAGUCCAUCCAAUCAAAAUGAACGUUUUCGCCACCUUCUAAUCUAAUCUGUGUCGUAACAUUUUUGGAAACUCAAUAUGAGGGUAUUAUAAAAAAGUAGUAAUUAAUUUAGUUCAAACACAACAGUAUCCUGUAUAACGGCCUAAAUACUACUCUUUUUGCCGCUAGUAAUUUUUAAAACAAUGUUAUUGUAUCUUACAUAAAAGACGUUGCUUUUUGUUAUACUGGUAGGUAAUAAUUUAAAAUGGCAUGUACUGAUAAAAAAGAAAAUACAGUUCACAGCGUCGAUAGUGACGUAUUUGAUGUAGAAGAUCAGCAUCAAAGUGAUGAAAAUGAAGGCGACUCAAUAGAACUCAUACGAAGAUGUAAUAGAGAAACUGAUAUCGAUACAUCUUGGGAUCAAAGUCGAUACAGUGAUUUAAAACUGAGUGAUAACAAUAAAACACCACCAUUUCAGCCAGUUAUAAUGUCUGACGUAAGUCCUAGCAGCAGGACAAAUACCUCAACACAGACCGAUAUAAGACAGGAUGAAGAUAUGACGGGUAUUAAUUUGUCGUUUAGUAAAUAUUUUGACAUGGAGGAUUCUAGUUCCUCCGAGAGUGUAGGGAAAAGACUCCGUCGAGUUUCACAAGAAGAAUAUCAACGCCCAUGCAAGAAGACUAAAUGUGAUGAUUCUGUUCUAUCAGAAAGAGAGGUAAACAUUGGUACAUCAAACUCCACAAGUCAUAUUUUAUCCUCCGAAUCGGAGGUGUCCUUCGUAUCUGUGAACAGUAACUACUCCUAUAAGACACGUAAAAAAAGACGACGGUCAGAGUCGACCUUGCUUAGAGAUGCCCUGCAAAGAGCUGGCAAAAAUUUUCACACAAAUACUUCAGUGUCUGGGAGUCCUAGAAAGGAUAAAAAUCUGCGCAGGAGCGUAAGGACGAAAUCUUGGCGAGUGAUGGAUUUGUGCACUUGGAUCGGGAGAAAGGGGUAUCAGUCCAUUACUGGUCUCUAUGCGGACAUGUUAAAGGAACCUAUCAAAGGAAAGGAGAAGAAAGAUGAAAGAUUAUCAGAGGACCUGUUGGAUCUGAAGAAAAAUGUGGAAGAUAUGAAGCACGAAUUGAAGGGACUUAAGAAAUUCGUAGAAGAAAUGAACCAGGAAAUGAGAGACGUAAGGAAGUAUGUAGAAGAUUUAGACAAGAGUCAAGUGCGGCAGACGAGCGAGACAGAAGAUUUGCGACACAAGGUGGGCCGACAUGAGAGCGAAAUUAAAGACCUUCAGGGUAAGCUCAGCCGCCUGGACUCGCAACCGAAACCGCCAUCUUGCCCUCCCCCUCCGCCACCUCCUCCUCCUCCUCCGCCGCCGCCUCCACCACCACAGCCCUCAAAGCUCCCAGUCAGGACCAACAUCCAGAGAUGCGGUUCAGCCCCACCAAGUGUCGGACCGAGGCUUACUAUCACACCACAAGAUAUCGCGAAUGUUAAACUGAGGAAGACCAAGGAUAACCCAGUUCGACCAAAACCUACGCCAAAAGAACGUCCACAGCCCCUAGUUACCCAGCACAUGUUGGAGACCACGCGGGCAAAACUGGGCCGAGCCAAACCCGUGGCUUCGUCUACGCCUAAGCAACAGCUCAGCGAAUUGGAGAAAUGUCUUCUACAAGAGGUAUCAGUGACGUCACUUUACAGGCGUCGAGUGACGCGCGGCUCGUUCCGCAGUGCGGAAGAGCUCCGUCCGCGACCCUAUCCCGCCGCCAGGUGUCGCUCGCCAAGGUCGCCUCGGACUCGAACGGCGUCACUGUCCCGAAUAACCCCAAUCACCCCAAUCGAACUUUCACUUCUGUUGCCCAAAGAGUGAAGUAGAAGAAACAUUUAGUUUACGAAGUUGAGAUAUGUUUUGAGUUUUGACGUAUGUGUGUAAGCCCUGCAAAUUAUUAGCUAUUUGCAAUGCUUGGUGCGAAUUUGUUAAAGUGAGAGGUUUUUUUUUUCUUAUAGAAAAUAAUAGAUGUGACAACUUAGAUAGUUAAGUUUUGUAAAUUUUAGUUAUCUUAAAAUGAUUAUUUUUUAUUUAGUACCAUCUACAAUAAUGGAGUGAAAGUAUUUUAUUAGGCGUAGAUAUAGAUGUUAAUGACAUGCAAUUUGCAGUUGUAUUUAUCUGAAUUUAGUUUGCGGAAAUAAUUUUGAAAUAAUAUGACUUAUUUGUGUUGUAGCCAUAUUAGUAAUCUAUUACGGCACAUUGUAAAGUUUCCUUUAUAAUUAUUUUAUUUGUACGGUUUUUCGUUUUUGAUACAUUAGUUUUUCGUAUUUGUAUAUAAUAAUAUUGUUUGCUUAUCGCUAUUUGGACGUUGGUUUUAUUUAAAAGAUAAAUUACUUUUAUAAAAACAUAAGGCUGACUCGUUUUUUUGUAUGUUAUAUAUUGUAAUAGUAUUAGAUAAUAAUGAUACUGACAUUUCAAAAAACGUAAUCUGUCAAUGCUGAAUUUAAUUGAUAUAGUGCUUACGUCUUUAGGUGCAGGUACACACGGGAAUAAUUGUCAUGCAUAAGAAGAACAGUGUUUGUAAAUUGUGUUUGUGUAAUUAUUAAAACAUUCUUCUAUCUAAACAAUAGAAGCAAUAUUCAAAUACGGACAUUGAUUAAGGUCUAAGAAACGAUAUUCAUUCGUAUAACAGUACGAUGCCUCAGGAUUAUACAGGAUCUCAAAAAGAUAUGUUUCCAUUCUACAACGCUUAAUAAACGUUAGCCCCCACAAAUACCAUAGUUUUAAAAGCUGCUUGGGCACUAGGUAGGUAAGACAGGAAAUUUUAAGCGCUAACUUUUGCAAAAAAAA